rnacentral:lncRNA from 1 species
CGGACAUGAGUAAGUGGCAGGCUCUCGGGUGGUAAUGUGGGUGUAGAAAGAGGCACGUGGCUGGCGCCUUCCCUCCCUCCUCGCCCCUCCCUUUCCACUCUGGGCCCUCCCGCAGGCCAGGGCAGCCUCCAAAAUGGCCCCUCUGGCAUGCCAGGCCUAACCCAGAGGCCCCCUCUGGGGCCACCCCCCAACCCAGCUUCCAGGAAAGCAGCCCCACGUGGCCGCUGGCAGAGCCAGCGCUGGGACCCCGCCAGACCCAGAACCAGCCUGCAAAGGGAUCCAUGUUGGCUGGAUGCCUGCCUGUGGUUGUGGCUUUGGGAGCCCCAGAUCUUGAUUCUCCCCAGAACUCUGACAGUGACCGAGGCCUCUCUCUGACGCUGGAGCUUUCACAUCUCGAAAUGAGCCAGGCACCAGCAGUCAGCAAGCCAGCCGAGUUCCAUGUAACACACGUUUAUUUCCAUGUUCCUGAAGGACCAGUGAGCGGGAGGCCAGCUCUGCAGAGGGGCCUAUAA